UGUUAAAAAAAUUAUUUAUUUUUAUUGUUAAUAACUGAUGUGGUUGACGGAAUAACUAAAUAGUUAUAGGUGGCGUGCACCUCACGUUGACGUAUAGGAACUAGUUUUUAACAAUAAAAAUGGAUAAAAUAUUUAACA
rfam:Gossypium hirsutum cultivar TM-1 chromosome 4, whole genome shotgun sequence